CUUAGACCUAAGCUGAUUAAUGAGUUUCUAGCUCUGCCUCUUGCCACAGACCAUACACACCCAUUACCAAUGAGCAAUAGAUUCCGGUAACCCCCUCCUGUCUACCAGAGUCCUCUCCCUGUAACCCAGAAUGUUUGCACGUCCCACCCGCGCUUUGCCCAGCUCCUCACUGUCCUUGGACUUCCCUGGAGAACGUAGAACUGAUGUGCACUGUUGGCUCCUGUUGUGCUGCACAGGCCUCCGUACAAACGGAACUCAAGAGCAUACACCACUCAUCUCUGCUAGUGGAUCACCUCUGAACGCUGUCUGCGCUGGGCUGAGGAUGCUCAUUACUGAAGUUCAAGGUUCUUACUGAUGUCACUGGAAAAUUUGUCUCUGCUCUGAGAAAUCACAGGGUCCCCGGAAGGCAAUCAUGUGAAUUCAGUCAUCAGUUACAUUUCGCCAAGAAUUAAGUCACCCAUCAGCUGACUCAAGGCUUCAACACAUGUCUAAGCUCAGAGAUGCUACUGGUCUCUUCCACGACUUGUUCAAGAUGGAUCUAACACUGAUGAACCCCAUGCCAACAAUUUGCUUCCCAACGUAAAGCUAACUUGGAGUGUGGGAGACGCACACUGAAAUCAUUCUCCUCACAUUAUCAUUAACUUGGGCUCACGAUAAGCGGCCAUCACAGGCUCAGAAGUGGACUUUACCCAUCUUGGACACAAAGCAGUGUUUGUACCAGAAUAAAACGGAAUAUGACUCAUAUACAAAUGGAGAACCUUGAAGCCUAUGAUGUACAUUAUAGAAAGCAGAAAUAGGAAAUGAUGCUGUGCAUUCUAGGUUGAUCCUUUCUAUAAUUAACAAUGUAUUUCUUUCAGGGUUAGUCUUUGUGACUCGUGAGGUGACUACACUAACACCUGGUGUUGAUAAGAUGGCAUGAAAACAGCCAGCUCUGGAAGUCGUGCGGAGUGAUGGCUCAGAAGUGAAUAGUGCUUGCUGCUCUUUCCAAGGACCCGAGAUGGGUUACCAGCACCCAUGUUCUCCAGAUCACAGUCUUCGCUAACUCCAGCUCCAGGGCUUCUAACCCCCUCUUCUGGCCUCCAUGGUCUUUCAUGUGUAUUCUGCAGAAGCCAGAAGGUCCCAUCGAGCUGGAGGUACCGG
rnacentral:lncRNA from 1 species